AUUGAACGCUGGCGGCAUGCCUAACACAUGCAAGUCGAACGGCAGCACGGCAGUAGCAAUACUGUGGGUGGCGAGUGGCGGACGGGUGAGGAAUACGUCGGAAUCUGCCCAGUCGUGGGGGAUAACUAGCCGAAAGGUUAGCUAAUACCGCAUACGACCGAGAGGUGAAAGCGGGGGACCGCAAGGCCUCGCGCGAUUGGAUGAGCCGACGUCGGAUUAGCUAGUUGGUGGGGUAAAGGCCCACCAAGGCGACGAUCCGUAGCUGGUCUGAGAGGAUGAUCAGCCACACUGGAACUGAGACACGGUCCAGACUCCUACGGGAGGCAGCAGUGGGGAAUAUUGGACAAUGGGCGCAAGCCUGAUCCAGCAAUGCCGCGUGUGUGAGAAGGCCUCGGUUGUAAG
rnacentral:rRNA from 1 species